rnacentral:misc_RNA from 1 species
UUUCCGUAGGUGAACCUGCGGAAGGAUCAUUCAUAAUAAAGUGUUUUAUGGCACUUUUUAAAAAUCCAUAUCCACCCUGUGUGCAAUGUUAGAUCUCGUCAAUCUUGGCGAGAUUUUUAUACACCAACUCAUUCUUUAACUAAUUUGUCUGAAAAAUAUUAUGAAUACUUAAUUCAAAAUACAACUUUCAACAACGGAUCUCUUGGCUCUG